UACAGAAGGUGCGAGCGUUAAUCGGAAUUACUGGGCGUAAAGGGUGCGUAGGUGGUGAUAUAAGUUAAGUGUGAAAUCCCCGGGCUUAACCUGGGAACUGCGCUUAAUACUGUGUGACUAGAGUACUGUAGAGGAAGGUGGAAUUUCCAGUGUAGCGGUGAAAUGCGUAGAUAUUGGAAGGAACAUCAGUGGCGAAGGCGACUUUCUGGACAGAUACUGACACUGAGGCACGAAAGCAUGGGGAGCAAACAGG
rnacentral:rRNA from 1 species